rnacentral:rRNA from 1 species
UGGGGAAUAUUGCACAAUGGAGGGAACUCUGAUGCAGCAACGCCGCGUGCGGGAUGACGGCCUUCGGGUUGUAAACCGCUUUCAGCCAUGACGAAGCUUUUGUGACGGUAGUGGUAGAAGAAGCACCGGCUAACUACGUGCCAGCAGCCGCGGUGAUACGUAGGGUGCGAGCGUUGUCCGGAAUUAUUGGGCGUAAAGAGCUUGUAGGCGGUUUGUCGCGUCGAUAGUGUAAACACGCAGCUUAACUGUGUGCCUGCUGUCGAUACGGGCUGACUAGAGGAGGGUAGGGGCGAAUGGAAUUCCCGGUGGAGCGGUGGAAUGCGCAGAUAUCGGGAGGAACACCAGUGGCGAAGGCGGUUCUCUGGACCUUUCCUGACGCUGAGAAGCGAAAGCGUGGGUAGCAAACAGG